AUAGGGCUGUUGCUUCGCGUUGGUUAGUAAGACUUUCCCGGGGCCGAUACUUUUUCUCUAGGGAGCUGUCCCUGAGAGGGUCCGUGGAUCCUUUCAUAUGGCACCCACCUGCACAUGCAGGUCGCUGAGGAAUCCUACAGAACCAACGGUUGUGACGGCUCUAUA
rnacentral:other from 1 species